AGAGACAGCGGCCCAGCAGCCUUCUCGGUGCGUUCUCCGCCCCAACCCCCCUCUGCCACCCUAGGGGCCUGUCCCGACGCUGAGCUCCCUAGGGGCCCAGGAAACAACCGCUGCCCUAGCGAAUCCCAACUGCGAACGCCCCAUGGAAAGGGGCGAGGAAGACAAUCCCGUAUCGUGGGGUGUGCUGCCUGUGCACCAGAGGGCUGCACACGCACUCUCCCGGCCUCCUGGACCUUCCUACAAACCGUUCACACAGUAUUUUCCUUCGGGAAAGUUUUCUAGAUUGGGGAUCUCGGCAAAGAGGAAGCUGUGGGUGCGCAUGAGCUUCCCGGCGCGGCGUGCACAAGAAAGGGGUGCCGGAGCUCCCAAAUCCUGAGUCAAGAAGAAAACCUGAGGGUCAGAACUAUGAGCCAAGCAGAAGAGUACCCUCGGAGUCAAGUUCAUGGAUAAGAGCCAGAACCCCGAUUUCCGAAAUUGUUGUCUGUGCGUGUACUUGCAAUGCGCGUGGAGGCCCGAAGAGAGCGUCGGAUCGCCCUGGAGCCAGAGUGACCAGCGGCUAUGAGAGCCGCCUAAUUGAGCGGGGGACCGAUCUCGGGUCCUCUGCAAGAGCAGGAGCCUCCUCUCCAGCGCUUCUCCCUGUCUUUUGAGCCGGUGUCCUGUAUACACUCACUCUACAGCGGAAACUGGCCUCCAACACCCGAUUCUCCUGGUUCCACCUCCCUAGUGCUGGGAUGGUGUGUGUGUGUUUACCAGUCCUAGCUAAGUGGACAACU